CUCGUACGAUUAUUGCAGUUAAGCAACGUCGAACCUGGUUAGUACUUAGAUGGGUGAUCGCUUGGGAAUACCAGGUGCUGUAAG